UGGGGAAUAUUGGACAAUGGGCGAAAGCCUGAUCCAGCCAUGCCGCAUGAGUGAAGAAGGCCUUUGGGUUGUAAAGCUCUUUUAGUGAGGAAGAUAGUGACGGUACUCACAGAAGAAGUCCUGGCUAACUCCGUGCCAGCAGCCGCGGUAAUACGGAGAGGGCUAGCGUUAUUCGGAAUUAUUGGGCGUAAAGGGCGCGUAGGCUGGUUAAUAAGUUAAAAGUGAAAUCCCGAGGCUUAACCUUGGAAUUGCUUUUAAAACUAUUAAUCUAGAGAUUGAAAGAGGAUAGAGGAAUUCCUGAUGUAGAGGUAAAAUUCGUAAAUAUUAGGAGGAACACCAGUGGCGAAGGCGUCUAUCUGGUUCAAAUCUGACGCUGAAGCGCGAAGGCGUGGGGAGCAAACA
rnacentral:rRNA from 1 species